rnacentral:rRNA from 1 species
UACGUAGGGUGCGAGCGUUAAUCGGAAUUACUGGGCGUAAAGCGUGCGCAGGCGGUUCGUUAUGUCCGAUGUGAAAGCCCCGAGCUCAACUUGGGAAUGGCAUUGGAAACUGGCGGGCUGGAGUGUGGCAGAGGGGGGUGGAAUUCCACGUGUAGCAGUGAAAUGCGUAGAGAUGUGGAGGAAUACCGAUGGCGAAGGCAGCCCCCUGGGUCAAUACUGACGCUCAUGCACGAAAGCGUGGGGAGCAAACAGG